ensembl:lncRNA
GGUUUCUGCUGUUGCGAUCUAAGGUGACUCUGGUUUGGUUCGGUAAAGGAGAGUGGCUGUGUUUAUGGUCGUUUCCGCAUUUGCCACCGCUGCUUUAAUCGGCUGAUGGCUAUGAGUUUGUAUCUGUCCUCCUCCAGUUGAUGUGUUGUGUACGGGUGACGGCUGUUGCAAAUAGGCUGAGUAAUUACACCUACAGCUACAUCCCAGUUCCCGCAGCUUAUAUUUGGGUGAAUAACAUCUUUACAGUGGCAGUACCGCUGUCUCGUCUUACAGCUGAUUUGCAUUGAGUUUGUGUUUGUUUUGGGCCGGAGUAGUGUUUGACCCGUGCCAACGAACUGUGUCUUUGUGUAUGUUUUGUUUCGACAAAAGGCCUUGAGUGUUUAUUUUGUGUGGUACUUAGUUGUUAAAUUUGUUGGAUUUCUUGUCUAUUCAAUUUAAAUCCGGUACUUUCCGUAUUAGUUAUUGUUUUGUUAUUUUUGUUUGAUGGUGGUUUUGUAAGUCUGUAUUGAUUUCUUGUAUAUUGUAAUUUUGUUUCCAUAUUAAUGUGAAAUUGGGUAUUUGAAUUUAAGCUGAUUUAAUUUUCCUUUCUUUGUCAGUCUAAAUUGAGUGCUGUUUUUGUUAAUUGAUUUAUUUUGGCUGAUAGUAUUGUGAAACAAUUGUUUGUACAUUUGUUGUAGUUCAUUGUGAGUUAAAGUAUUGUUUAAGUUUUUCUUUACAGUUGUGUAAUUGGUACAAUGUUGUAUUAACGUGUGUGUGUGUGUGAGUUCUUUUUGUCUAGGAGCUGCAGGCCUUCUUGACCAGGGCGACCAUUCCUCUGUAGGUGGUG